rnacentral:tRNA from 1 species
CAGGGAGACAACAAAAUGUUUAAUAUUAUUAUUUUGUCACCUUAGGUCGAUCGGUAUCUCACAUUUUUAAUUUAUUAAGAAUUUCAUUUCCUAAGUUUUUCUAGGUCACACCCAUUAUUUUCCUGGGCCAUUAGCUCAGGUGGUUAGAGCGCACCCCUGAUAAGGGUGAGGUCCCUGGUUCAAGUCCAGGAUGGCCCAUAUCUCUAUGUUGGGGGUAUAGCUCAGUUGGUAGAGCGCCUGCUUUGCAAGCAGGAUGUCAGCGGUUCGAGUCCGCUUACCUCCACUGAUUACCACCUCUUCCAUAAUUAUAUAGAAGGGAAAAUUUUUAGGUUGUGAUCAAAUUCUGAACGAAUCUAGCUUCCUAAUGAAAAUAUUAAGAUGCUGGACUCAUUGAAUUAAUUCAUUGUUUUCAGAGAACCUUGACAACUGCAUAGAUUAUUUUUAAAGACAAUAAGCAUCUUUAACGAUGCAGAUUUAUUAUUGGUGCAAAUGCAUUAAUAACAAUUCUAUUAAGCUGAUGCUUCAAUUUUGAAGUUAUUG